rnacentral:rRNA from 1 species
CGGGACGGGUGAGUAAUGUCUGGGAAACUGCCUGAUGGAGGGGGAUAACUACUGGAAACGGUAGCUAAUACCGCAUAACGUCGCAAGACCAAAGAGGGGGACCUUCGGGCCUCUUGCCCAUCGGAUGUGCCCAGAUGGGAUUAGCUAGUAGGUGGGGUAACGGCUCACCUAGGCGACGAUCCCUAGCUGGUCUGAGAGGAUGACCAGCCACACUGGAACUGAGACACGGUCCAG